rnacentral:rRNA from 1 species
AAUCAACGCUGGCGGCGUGCCUCAGACAUGCAAGUCGAACGAUUAAAGCUCUCUUCGGAGAGUGUAUAGAGUGGCGCACGGGUGAGUAACACGUAAGUAAUCUACCCUCGAGUGGGGAAUAACAACCGGAAACGGUUGCUAAUACCGCAUAAUGCAGCGGCACCGCAAGGUGACAGUUGUUAAAGAUUUAUCGCUUGAGGAGGAGCUUGCGGCAGAUUAGCUAGUUGGUAGGGUAACGGCUUACCAAGGCUACGAUCUGUAACCGGUCUAAGAGGACGGUCGGUCACACUGACACUGAAUAACGGGUCAGACUCCUACGGGAGGCAGCAGUCGGGAAUUUUGGGCAAUGGGCGAAAGCCUGACCCAGCAACGCCGAGUGAAGGAUGAAGUAUUUCGGUAUGUAAACUUCGAAAGAAUAGGAAGAAUUAAUGACGGUACUAUUUAUAAGGUCCGGCUAACUACGUG